CACGUAGUUAGCCGGCGCUUUUUCUGCAGGUACCGUCACUUUCGCUUCUUCCCUGCUAAAAGAGGUUUACAACCCGAAGGCCGUCAUCCCUCACGCGGCGUUGCUGCAUCAGGCUUCCGCCCAUUGUGCAAUAUUCCCCACUGCUGCCUCCCGUAGGAGUCUGGGCCGUGUCUCAGUCCCAGUGUGGCCGGUCACCCUCUCAGGCCGGCUACCCGUCGACGCCUUGGUGAGCCAUUACCUCACCAACAAGCUGAUAGGCCGCGAGCCCAUCCCAGACCGAAAAAUCUUUCCAAACACGACCAUGCGAUCACGUCUCAUAUCCAGUAUUAGACGCCGUUUCCAGCGCUUAUCCCAGAGUCCAGGGCAGGUUGCUCACGUGUUACUCACCCGUUCGCCACUGAUCCACCAAGCAAGCUUGGCUUCACCGUUCGACUUGCAUGUGUUAAGCACGCCGCCAGCGUUCAUCCUGAGCCAGGAUCAAACUCU
rnacentral:rRNA from 1 species